UCUACGGGAGGCAGCAGUAGGGAAUCUUCCACAAUGGACGAAAGUCUGAUGGAGCAACGCCGCGUGAGUGAAGAAGGGUUUCGGCUCGUAAAACUCUGUUGUUAGAGAAGAACAGCCGUGAGAGCAACUGCUCACGGUAUGACGGUAUCUAACCAGAAAGUCACGGCUAACUACGUGCCAGCAGCCGCGGUAAUA
rnacentral:rRNA from 2 species